rnacentral:sRNA from 1 species
CUUUUGAAGGCGCCCCACCAUCACUCAACUUUUCACAGCCCGGCUUUCUGGCCGGGCUGUU